rnacentral:sRNA from 12 species
AGGAGCUGGUACUAAUAUACUAGUCUGUGCCUAAGUUCUCACGAGUGGUACACUCGUUUUCAGCUUAGGAACACCACAGCUGGCACCACCGCUCCA